rnacentral:tRNA from 1 species
GGGCAAUUAGCUCAGCGGUAGAGCACUUCCUUGACAUGGAAGGGGUCACAGGUUCGAUCCCUGUAUCGCCCACCA